UCCGAAGUAGCUCAGCGGUAGAGCAAUCGGCUGUUAACCGAUCGGUCGUAGGUUCGAUUCCUACCUCCGGAG
rnacentral:tRNA from 1 species